UGGGGAAUAUUGCACAAUGGGCGCAAGCCUGAUGCAGCCAUGCCGCGUGUGUGAAGAAGGCCUUCGGGUUGUAAAGCACUUUCAGCGGGGAGGAAGGCGUUAAGGUUAAUAACCUUGGCGAUUGACGUUACCCGCAGAAGAAGCACCGGCUAACUCCGUGCCAGCAGCCGCGGUAAUACGUAGGUGGCAAGCGUUGUCCGGAUUUAUUGGGCGUAAAGCGAGCGCAGGCGGUUUCUUAAGUCUGAUGUGAAAGCCCCCGGCUCAACCGGGGAGGGUCAUUGGAAACUGGGAGACGUGAGUGCAGAAGAGGAGAGUGGAAUUCCAUGUGUAGCGGUGAAAUGCGUAGAUAUAUGGGGGAACACCAGUGGCGAAGGCGGCUCUCUGGUCUGUAACUGACGCUGAGGCUCGAAGGCGUGGGGAGCAAACAGG
rnacentral:rRNA from 1 species